GGUGGCUCAGUGGUAGAGCUCUUGCCUUGCAUGCAUGAGGCCCUGGGUUCGAUUCCACAGCACCA
rfam:Dipodomys ordii contig_4822, whole genome shotgun sequence.